UCCCCGCCGGGCAUCCGGCCCCUGCAAGGUUUCCUCCCUGCGACCCCGGUGGCAAGCGGGCCCGGCCAGACCGCGUGGAUCACCGCAAAGAGUCCGAGUUGUCCAGGAGCUCUUGGAAACCUCCUUGUUGACAAGAAGCUGAGACUUCCAAGGAUUCACGGAUUUCCAGGUGCCAGGAUUUGUGGUAAAACAGCAAAUGUCACCAGAUGUGCAGUGACACUGCAAGAGGCGAUUACUUCUUUCACACCAAUGUCAAAUUUUGAUCAACAAGAUCGCACAUGAAUUUCUAUUAAUGAGACUCUUUCAAAAUACUUUCUAUGUAUGGUAAAUGUUGCCCUGCUAGAGUGCUGACCCUACAAACACUGGAUUGUAACAAUUUCUGUGUAUAAAGUGUAUCUGUUAUCCCUACUUACAGGUUUGGGGCAUAGUUUUCUGCAGGGAAACUUCACGUUUGAUACAGCAACAAUCUUCCUCCUAAGAAGCAGCUGCAGCAUUUAUUUAUUGUUUUACUCACCUCCCCUUCAUGUGAACUUUGAGCAGCAAAGAAGACGGGAAGUAACAGGGCGGCAGAGUUAGAAAGAGCCCUUUCUCUGGCCUGUGUGGCCCAGAGCCUGUGCUCCAGUCCACCCUGCCACUGGGCUGUGGCUGCCAACGUGGUACCCUUGGCUCUGCUAUUGUAACCUCUGCCUACUGCCAGCUGCCUCAGCCCUGCUGGAGGAUGCAGCCAUACCCAAAGCAAAGCUGCACGUGUGAGGAUCCCAGCUGGGCCACAGGAAGGUGCAAUAAAACAUAAGGAUCCCACCUGACUGCCAAUACUUGGCAACCUUUCCACCAAGCUGGGGAGGAGCUCACCCCUGGCUGCUCCCUUAUACCCAGCGUGUAACCCGGAAUGCACUGUGGGCUCCAAAGACAACACAAGUCAGCGUAGCUGGGGCUGUGUGCAGCUGGCAAAACAGAUUAGGAGGCAGGGGGGCUGUCCUUUACAAAACCCAGCUGGAUCUCUGCUCUGGACUGCCCCAGCAAGGCAUCCUGGUCUCUAGUUUUUAACCAGCUACAGUCAGGAUGCUGUGGACAGGAGUGAUAGAUUUGCUAUUGGACUUCAAGCAGCCACAAGUCACAACCUGAUUCUUAACAUGGGGCCCCCAAUUUAGCUAAAUGGAAAUUGCAUGUUAGUUGUUAAAUGUGGCCUGGAAACAUGCCGUUCAGCUUUGGGUUCAGGGGGAGUGCUGUUCACGGGAGAUCGGGAAAGCAAAGCCAGGCCCCUGUGGUAUCUAGAAGUCCAGUAAACCUGCUUCUUGAUUUUACCCAGGGGAAUAGAUUCUAUUCCACUUUAAGCCAGUGUAAAUCUGGAGUAACUCCACUGCCUUCAUGUUUUGAUGAGCUUACAAAUGUUUUGAAUUCCUGAUUCCUAGGGAGAAGCUUAGAAAAGCUGAGGUGGAUUCAGCACCAUCCCCUUUGAAAUACCAUCUAAUCUGGGGUUUGAAACACCUCCCCCUCUGUGGCUGGCUUCCAGAGGUACUGAGUGCUCCCAACUCACCUGGGCCUCCGCUAGACUUGGGAGUGGUGUACAAAUCUGGAAAUCAGCCCUUGAGAAAAGCUUUCCCCUCCCAGUCUGUGGCUGGGAAGCUGGGAUGAAAAGAGUGCAUGGUUUGUGUGCAGUGUCCCUUGCUGCAGAGCAAUCUUUCACUUCCCUCUGACCUGUGGCCUCCCCAGACAAACUGCAAGCAGCUCAGCUCUUUGCUCCUCCACACCUGGCACUGCCAUCGAACAGACCUGAAAACAAAGAAGGGGGCUAUCAGGAGGCCUCCAGGCUGAGUGGUGGUCAGUGUGGCUGGGAAGACCCAGCUCAGGCUCUUCUGUCCAAGGGACUGGAUGCGGCUGGAACCCAAUUUAUUUCCUCAGGACAGACAAACUCCUCAAGGCGGAGAAAGUGGUGGAGCCAGUCUGGCAGUUCCAUAUGGUGACAUAGGAAGGGGAGGAGCAAGGGGGCCAUGAGCAAUUCAGGAUGCAAACAUCCCCUUCCCCUGGUAAAAAGAGGGAGGGGAGAGGAGACAGGAGGGAGCUCUUACCUCCUCUUCCACCUCACCUGCUAUUCUAGGCCGGGGUCCCUCAGCUCUGCCAAUUCCCCUCCAAGUGCAGUCACUCCUACUCUUACUCCUGCUCCCCAGCUGUGCCACUGCCCUGCAGCCCCCC